UAUUAUUGGUUGCUCACAAUGGCCAAAGAGCGCGCCCACUUUUUCUCAGCGGCAGAGCAAGAACUCUUGAUGGAGGGCUAUGGCGAGUUCCAAAAUUUAAUAAAAACGCCAGGGAACACCUCAAAGGCUGCAAAAGCCAGGAGAGAGGGCUGGCAAAAAAUAGCAGACCAAUUAAAUGCAGCCACCACAGGACCCACUAGAACUUGGGAACAAGUAAAGGUGAAAUACAAGAAUAUUCUACAAAAUGCAACUAGGAAAAAGGCAGAGCAAAAACAAACAGGUGGUGGUCCUGCACCCCCAUGUCACACCCCGGCAGAAGAGCUGGCCCUUGGAUUA